CCGCGUAAGUGCCUCCCCUGGGGCUGCAUUCUAAUAAGCUAGUCCCAAAUACUUCGUGGAAUACAUCUUGAUGUAUUGAAUCGCAAUGCAAAAACAAGCUACUUCUUCGCAUUGCGCGUCAUGCGAGAGCAUUCAAACAGGACUCAGUGUACUGCUUUUUCUGUUGCAUUGGUAAUAACAGCAGCAUUGACUGAAGACAGCAGGAGAGCAGGACAACGCGUGAAUCUCUGAGCGCAGCGCCAGCGGAGGAAUAUCCCAGCUUUUAUUUACUCUGAGGCUUGUUGUUCAUUUUUAUGCUUUAUGGUGAACUUGUACAGUACAGUCACGUGUGAAGAUUUCGGGAAGCUGAAAGUAAGACUUCUUCUCACCUGGUGACUCCUAUUUCCAAAGAGGAAAUAAACCCGCGUAUUCGAUCCUCGACACCUCUGGACUUCCUCCACUCCUGAGACGGACAACAAACACAGUUUCCCCCCUCAGGGAUGAAAUAUGCCCAGGCUGUGUCCGUAGACCAAGUCAGAACUUGUACUCUCUGAAGUCAAAACUGGUGAGUGAGACUGUACAGCCAUAUUGCUUACUGUACUGUUGUCUGCAUGCCUGUUGUUAUGUGUUGGCUGUCAUGCUUGUGUGGUUCAUCAGUCACUGCCUUUCCGGGAACCUUCAGGUUAAAACAGAUAUUUGUGCUUGUAAAAAACAAAACUAAGCAGUACCACACAGUUCGGAAGAAUCUUAGCUACGACAAAGGAGACAAUUCAAGAUUACCAGCUGAAUUAAAUUAUAAUGCAAUAAUGCCGGUAAAAAGCAGGUUAAAAAGUGAACACACGAAAGGCAGGUUUGUGUGACAGUUUUCAAAUCAAAAACGCCGGUCGAGGCAUUAGCUCAGAACGAGUCUAAACAAGUCUAAAUGGCUGUUCAACCUCCUCCCAAACACUUCUUCGGUCAUUAGUUAGCGUUAUCCUUUUCCGUCUCCAAUUACGUUUAUCCAUGGUGAGACAUAUCCAGCCCUUCACUACAGAUGUUUGGCGUCUGACAAUGUGUGUCAGAUGCCUCCUGAGUCUAUGACCGUGUGCUGUGGAGCCACAUUAGCAAGGAUUGACUCAUAAUCAUCUUCACCUGCUGGCCUUGGAUUCUUUAGGCUUGUUCCGUCGUGGCUUGGUGACAAACUGCUGCUGUUUCCUCAAGCACUAUGAAUCUGCUAGUUUAUCCUUUGGUGGAAUGGGAAUAUAUUUAGUGAAAAUAAAAAUUUUAAAAUGUACUUCAAUACUGGUUGGUUGAGAGGCAGAGGUUGAACAUUUUGUUUCAGUCUUUUGCAUUUAAUUGUUGUUCUUCACCUUAACUAUUUGUCUCCUUUGUGCCACCUAAAAUUAGUUAUAAUUCAGAAGUUUGUUUUGGUCUAUUUUCCCAAGGUUGUUUCCUAGAAUCCAGGCCAUGAGUUUAUUUGGAUAAUCUGACCCAGUCUCAGCAUGAACAUCUAUUUUACUCAAUAUUCCACUGCUGAGUUUUGGCUUUGAGGUCCAGAUAUAAUUCAAGUGCAUGAGGCUGGAGCCGGACGGCUGGUUUGGGUGGCUCAGCUGUGGGGCCUGGCUCCGUUUCCCUGGAGCCACAUCUUCACAGGGCUGAGCAGAGCUGAGAAUCCCUUUCCCCACCUAAAAGAGAUUUGAAUAUUAGUUUUAAAUUUGUUGAGUAUCCCGUUAAAUCUUUAAAGAUGAACUCUCAAAGCAUAUCUGCUCUCCAACAGAAGGCAGUCUAAUCAUUGCAAAAAAAAAAAAGUAUAAUUGCCCUAACUCCAAGGGCCUCAAAUGUACACAUGUAUAAAAGUCUACAGCAAUUAAGCAUAUCUUUGGCUAGUUUAAAGUGGAGCUUCCCUGGACUGAUGGCUUUUGCUCACAUUUCCAAUCCAAAAUUGAUUUCUUGUUAUAGAUCAGAGCUCUCAGUCAUUUCAUUUUCAACACUCAAACGGGUUUUUCUGAGCUGGCUAACUCUUCUCCCAGGAGUGGGCGAGUAGGGGGAACCUCCACGGGUCUUUACCCAGGACACCCUCACCAGCGGAGGGGGAGGACGGGAAUCAAAGGGCCUCUGACUGCUCCCCAUUGGCCUGCUCCAUUGUGUAACCGAUCUGGGAUUGUAGGGGAAAGUGGACAGAGGGAUGGAGAUCAGCCAGAGCCCAUACAUUUUUCUAAUCUUUAUCCACCAUUAACCCUAGCGCCCCUGUGUGUGACUGGGAUCAGGGCAAUGGUCAAUCCCCUAUUCUCCACCACCCAGAAUAUUUUAAAUUUAAGCCCCUCUCUUAACAAAAAAAAAGUCCUUCUCAUCAAAGGUUCACUUUCUUACUCACUCGGUCCCAAGGAUCUGCCUUUGCUCGCCCUCCUCCCCUCGCUCCCCCUCUUUAUGGUCCGCUGUUUUGUCUUCCCACUUGGAAAGUUGGAAGUUCUGGAACUUUCCCAAGUUUCCAUAUUUCAGUUUAAUGAGGUUUGGUUUGGGGUCUCAUACUGUCGUGCUGUGAGCAAAUUGGAGCAAGAGUGGAAGGACCUAGUUCCUCUCUUCACUGAUCUCUGGGCGGAUUAGGAGCUGGGUUCGCGUUUAAAUAGAUUCUGGAAAUGUACUUACUUCCACAGAGAGAAUAUAAUUCGCACCUGAUACAUAUAUUCCCAACCUUGAGCUUGUCCUUCACACAGGCAAACACGCCAUGUGUAACCUAUCCCCGCUCAGUCACAGAAGUCUAACAGCUCUGAGAUGUUUUAAUACCUCAAACUUUAACUGGAUUCAAUCCAGACCCUUUCUGGGAGCUUAUAGUUUUUCUUUUUUUACAUCUACAUUAUUUUCUUUCCAGAUUCACUUUGUUUAUAGAAGUAGCCAUAGUGGUCUUCUGAGACCCUGCUUUGUAUAAAGGAAUAAUGAAGCGACAGGAAAAACGAGAAGGUAAGGUAGAAAGAAGAUCUGAGUGUUUGUCUGGACUGGACAGUUGCUAUGAGAGAACUGUCACAAUGGGAGGCAUGGUCAAGCCAACCCAAAGCUUCCAUCAGUCGUGAUGGGGAAGGCUCAAUGAGCUUAUUGAUCCAGAAAGCUAGCUAUGCUAAUCAACAGUAUGAAUGGACACGCUCUGCAGAACGGACACCACCCCCCCUUCUACAUGUCAGUCAGGCACUCAGUUAGUGGUAAUCUCUCUGAGAGUCUGAAAAUACCACACCAUCAUACUGUUUGUUAGCUACGGAAAGUGGAUGGGUGGCAGCCUGUAGUUUGUCUUUUAAUCAGAACACAUUACAGUAAUCUACUGCUUGCAAGGAUCACAAGCUAGCCACAAACAGCGCUCAGUGCCAUGUAAUUUUGUGACGUGAUUUUGAACACAGGCAGCAACAGACAAGGAGCAGGCAAGGGCUUGUGGUUUUAAUAUCUGCAGCCCUCGGGCAAAGCAUCUACUCAUUAGACACACAUUGGCCUCGACUCCUAACUGCUCGUGACAUGACUGAUUGCAAAUAGUUUACGCACAAUCUUUUUAAAUUUUCAUAAAAGGGUGGAUCUAGAGUUUCACGUGUUAUUCUUUCCCUCCGAGUUAAUUGGAGAAAUCUUGGGUGCGGAAGCAGGCCACUGGCACGGUUCCAAGUGCCUGAGAUUAUUGUGAAAGAGAACCCUUCUGAAGGCACGACAUCAGAGAUGCCUGACAUGGGUUUGAACUCGUUGUUUCAGGUGGGGAGAGUUAUGAGUCGCUUCAGUUGCAGGUGAUCGUGUCCAAUGAAUUGGUCUCACAGAGUAGUAACACGUUCUUUUGGAAAGUUGAAAAAUGUUGAUCGUCUCCGCGGUUUGAACUUGUGUGUGGCUGCAUCUCCACGGUGAUACACAGGUUUUGGAAAGUGCACACAAAGUCAGUUCCGCCUGUUUAUUUAACGAACCAAAAAUGUAUAACAAGACGAGCAUGAACGAAGAUUAGGAUUGUGGAGUGCGAUGUAUUUAUCAUGACGAUAAAGUAGCAAUAGUGUAGGAAACUGUGUGCUUUCCCUGCCUGAUUCUACAGUUGUCAAACAAUGUGAAUUUUCUCUGCUCUUUGGAUGAACUGUGUCUGACGUGUGUUGUGUGUCGGUGUUUGUCAUUGAGUGUGUGCGUAUUUGAGUGUGUGGUGGUGUGUUAAAGUUGGAUUUGCAAGUGAACACAUUGUGUGAAUGAUGUCAUGGAAUACAUUCGUCAUUAGCAGUUAUUGGUUUCUUAGAAACAUUGAUUUUUAUUUUAAGCUUUUGAAGCAAUAGAGUAGCUGGGAUUUUAGCCUCCUGUGGAGUUGUAAGUCUCUAAGAUUAUUAGAAUAAUUGGCAACAAAGAAGGUUCAUAUAAAUGUAAAUUAGAUUAAAUUAGUUCAGUUCCCCAUUUUGUAUAUUAUGAGAACUUUUUUUCACACUAAUCCAAAUAGAGCAAUUAUAUACGAACACUCCACUGCAUCCUCACAUCUUUAAUUUGGAUGUCAUACGUCAACAAUCCAAAGGGUAACACAUUGAAAUAGUUUAUAGGAUAUUAAGACGUUGAUAAAUCAUGUUAUCACCAUGCCACUGUGUCUUGGCCCUGACAUUUUUCAGAUUCCACCUUGAGAUAAUACUUUCACCCAAGCUCUUCUCCUUUCCCCACAAGUGAAAGCUUCAAAUCAGACCCAGUCACAGCCACUGAAAAACCUUUUACUACGCAGGCAACAAGCCAAGUCCUUUGUUCAUUAUGCUCAUUUGAUCGUGGCUUGAAAAGGAAUACACAGAGGGGAAAUACUACAAGAGUUUGGAAUUUGACUUCCAGACCACAAACCACAAGCCUAGACAGUGACAAGAGCUACCUAGUUUGACGGAAAUAGUCCGAGAGCAUCCAACACACGUAAACUCUCUCUCACACACACCCACACACACACACACACUCACACACGAUCACUCACACACUCACACACAUCCACACACACAAACACAAGUGUAACAUACUCGAUUUGGGUCAGAGGGCUGACAGACAGUGGAAUGUGGAUGUGUGUAUGUUGACAAACUCCACUGCCCACUGAAUGGGGUUUCUGAUUACACCUCAUCAUGCGUGCUGCGGUGCUCUCCAUCCCCCCC